rnacentral:rRNA from 1 species
UGGGCAACCUGCCCUCAGCACUGGGAUAACCCCGGGAAACCGGAGCUAAUACCGGAUACUCUCGGCCGAUCACAUGGCUGGCCGAGGAAAGGUCCGCCGGUCAGGGAUGGGCCCGCGGCCUAUCAGCUUGUUGGUGGGGUAACGGCCUACCAAGGCAUCGACGGGUAGCUGGUCUGAGAGGACGACCAGCCACACUGGGACUGAGACACGGCCCAAACUCCUACGGGAGGCA